AGUACGGCCGCAAGGUUGAAACUACAAAGGAAUUGACGGGACCCGCACAAGCGGUGGAUGAUGUGGUUUAAUUCGAUGCAACGCGAAAAACCUUACCACCUUUGACAUGUACGGAAGUUGCCAGAGAUGGCUUCGUGCUCGAAAGAGAACCGUAACACAGGUGCUGCAUGGCUGUCGUCAGCUCGUGUCGUGAGAUGUUGGGUUAAGUCCCGCAACGAGCGCAACCCUUGCCAUUAGUUGCUACGAAAGGGCACUCUAAUGGGACUGCCGGUGACAAACCGGAGGAAGGUGGGGAUGACGUCAAGUCCUCAUGGCCCUUAUAGGUGGGGCUACACACGUCAUACAAUGGCUGGUACAGAGGGUUGCCAACCCGCGAGGGGAGCUAAUCCCAUAAAGCCAGUCGUAGUCCGGAUCGUAGUCUGCAACUCGACUACGUGAAGUCGGAAUCGCUAGUAAUCGCGGAUCAGAAUGUCGCGGUGAAUACGUUCCCGGGUCUUGUACACACC
rnacentral:rRNA from 1 species